rnacentral:rRNA from 1 species
AUUGAACGCUGGCGGCAUGCCUUACACAUGCAAGUCGAACGGUAACAGGCCGCAAGUUGCUGACGAGUGGCGAACGGGUGAGUAAUGCAUCGGAACGUGCCCAGUAGUGGGGGAUAGCCCGGCGAAAGCCGGAUUAAUACCGCACACGACCUGAGGGUGAAAGGGGGGGAUCGCAAGACCUCUCGCUAUUGGAGCGGCCGAUGUCAGAUUAGCUAGUUGGUGGGGUAAAGGCCUACCAAGGCAACGAUCUGUAGUUGGUCUGAGAGGACGACCAGCCACACUGGGACUGAGACACGGCGCAGACUCCUACGGGGGGCAGCAGUGGGGAAUCUUGGACAAUGGGCGCAAGCCUGAUCCAGCAAUGCCGCGUGCGUGAAGAAGGCCUUCGGGUUGUAAAGCGCUUUUGUCAGGGAGCAAAUCCUUGUGGCUAAUACCCACCGGGGAUGAGAGUACCUGAAGAAUAAGGACCGGCUAACUACGUGCCAGCCGCCGCCGUAACAC